rnacentral:rRNA from 1 species
AGCGGCGGACGGCUGAGUAACGCGUGGGAAUGUGCCCCAAAGUGAGGAAUAACUGCCCGAAAGGGUAGCUAAUACCGCAUAUGAUCUUCGGAUUAAAGGAUUUAUCCGCUUUGGGAGCAGCCCGCGUUCGAUUAGGUAGUUGGUGAGGUAAUGGCUCACCAAGCCCACGAUCGAUAGCUGGUCUGAGAGGAUGACCAGCCAGACUGGAACUGAGACACGGUCCAGACUCCUACGGGAGGCAGCAGUGAGGAAUCUUCCACAAUGGGCGAAAGCCUGAUGGAGCAACGCCGCGUGCAGGAUGAAGGCCUUAGGGUUGUAAACUGCUUUUAUAAGUGAAGAAUAUGACGGUAACUUAUGAAUAAGCACCGGCUAACUACGUGCCAGCAGCCGCGGUCAUACGUAGGGUGCAAGCAUUAUCCGGAGUGACUGGGCGUAAAGAGUUGCGUAGGUGGUUUGUUAAGUGAAUAGUGAAAUCUGGCGGCUCAACCGUACAGGUUAUUAUUCAAACUGGCAAACUCGAGAAUGGUAGAGGUAACUGGAAUUUCUUGUGUAGGAGUGAAAUCCGUAGAUAUAAGAAGGAACACCAAUGGCGUAGGCAGGUUACUGGACCAUUUCUGACACUGAGGCACGAAAGCGUGGGGAGCGAACCGGAUUAGAUACCCGGGUAGUCCACGCCGUAAACUAUGGAUACUAGCUGUUGGAGGUAUCGACCCCUUCAGUAGCGAAGCUAACGCGUUAAGUAUCCCGCCUGUGGAGUACGGUCGCAAGACUAAAACAUAAAGGAAUUGACGGGGAUCAGCACAAGCGGUGGAUCGUGUUCUUUAAUUCGAUGUUAAACG